GGAAGACCCCGGCGCCCGGCUCCACCCACCACACGCAGUGGCGCAUGUCUCCGCGCGUCAGGAGCCCCAGCAGGAACUGGACCUUGGACUGUGCUGACAGUGUGACUCAUGGUGAGGCCUCGGGCCACACGCUAGCAGCCUGACGUCUCUGCAGGGGCUGGAGACUGAGUAACGAAGGUCGGUCACACAGAUGCUCCAUGCCUACGUGACCAGCCCCCAGUAAAAACCCAGGACACUGAGGCUCAGUGAACUUCCCUAGUUGGCAACACUCCAUGCAUGUUGUCACACAUCAACGCCGGGAGAAAUAAACACUGUCUGCAUGACUCCAUUGGUGGAGACAAAUUGGAAGUUCCAUGCCUUUUCCCCUGGCUGAUUUUAAUCUCUAUCCUUUAAUUGUAUUAAGUCAUAA